GCGACGACGGGUAGCCGACCUGAGAGGGUGACCGGCCACACUGGGACUGAGACACGGCCCAGACUCCUACGGGAGGCAGCAGUGGGGAAUAUUGCACAAUGGGCGAAAGCCUGAUGCAGCGACGCCGCGUGAGGGAUGACGGCCUUCGGGUUGUAAACCUCUUUCAGCAGGGACGAAGCGCAAGUGACGGUACCUGCAGAAGAAGCACCGGCUAACUACGUGCCAGCAGCCGCGGUAAUACGUAGGGUGCAAGCGUUGUCCGGAAUUACUGGGCGUAAAGAGUUCGUAGGCGGUUUGUCGCGUCGUUUGUGAAAACCAGCAGCUCAACUGCUGGCUUGCAGGCGAUACGGGCAGACUUGAGUACUGCAGGGGAGACUGGAAUUCCUGGUGUAGCGGUGAAAUGCGCAGAUAUCAGGAGGAACACCGGUGGCGAAGGCGGGUCUCUGGGCAGUAACUGACGCUGAGGAACGAAAGCGUGGGUAGCGAACAGGAUUAGAUACCCUGGUAGUCCACGCCGUAAACGGUGGGCGCUAGGUGUGGGUUCCUUCCACGGAAUCCGUGCCGUAGCUAACGCAUUAAGCGCCCCGCCGGGGAAGUACGGA
rnacentral:rRNA from 1 species